rnacentral:sRNA from 1 species
AAACGAACGUGGUCUUUUUCUGAUUGC